CGGUGCCCUCUGGGUCGCGACAUUUACGAAAAUGCUAUCCUCUUUCAUGGCAGAAACUAGCAGUCUAUCCUCCUUUUCGUCGUCUUCGGUGAAGCAUAGGCAGCACCAAAUCUUCAUGCAAGAGCGGGCAACGGGCUGGACUUUUACAAGAACCCUAGGUUCGUGAUCUUGUACAUUACCACGGAAGAAACCCUAACUGGGAGAGAAUUGUAGAAGAUGAUCUCGAAUCUAAGAAAACCGAGUGUUGAAAACCUGAAUUAGGGGUAAGAAUUACAAACCAUUUCUGGAAAAUCAAGGAAUCAGUACGAUCGACACAGACAUCUGGCUGUAGAGAGGAAAGAGGGGUUGAUUGUAUAGAGGGAAAAGUUGGAGGUGUGAUUUGAGAUGGAUCUGAUCGAAUCUUGUAAACUGGUAGUGAGGAUAUGUUGUUUUUGUUAUUGGGCUUCAAGAAAAAAGAGAUCGGCGCUAAUGGUGAUGCUAUAAAUCACUAUAUUCGUACCUUGUGUACAAUUAGUUUUUUUCUCUCUUUU
rnacentral:lncRNA from 1 species